ACGGGAACAGCACGACCGCAAAUCUGACUCGCCGUCCGUUUGGGCGGCUCCGAGAUUGCGGCCGUGU
rnacentral:ncRNA from 1 species